rnacentral:rRNA from 1 species
GAAUAUUGGUCAAUGGGCGAGAGCCUGAACCAGCCAUGCCGCGUGUAGGAUGACGGCCUUCUGGGUUGUAAACUACUUUUCUACAGGAAGAAAAAGCUUAUGCGUAAGCAAUUGACGGUACUGUAGGAAUAAGCACCGGCUAGCUCCGUGCCAGCCGCCGCGGUAAUACGGAGGGUGCAAGCGUUGUCCGGAUUUAUUGGGUUUAAAGGGUGCGUAGGCGGCCAAUUAAGUCAGUGGUGAAAUCCAUCCGCUUAACGGGAGAACUGCCAUUGAAACUGGUUGGCUUGAGUACGGUUGAAGUAGGCGGAAUUUAUGGUGUGGCGGUGAAAUGCAUAGAUACCAUAAAGAACACCGAUAGCGUAGGCAGCUUACUAAGCCGUAACUGACGCUGAGGCACGAAAGCAUGGGGAGCGAACAGGA